ACGGCGCACUCUGUUGCAUGUGUGGAGCAGCUCAGUGGAAUGUGGUGCUGAAUUCCAGGUUGGCCUCCAGCCCAGGUUUAUGAAGGAAUCCAUUUUUCCGCGUUUCUGAUCAUCAUUAGAUGGGUGCUGUGUCCUUACACAAUGUGAAUUAUCUUCCCCCGAGUGAAGUUAAAAGCAGGAAGAAAGAAUGGUGGCUGUCCUCUCCUGUCACUGUGUGUGUGUUCACACAUUUUGUCACUGUUAUCUCGCUGGCCAGAGCAAGAAAUGUCUUCUCUUAUCUUGGCUAUGCUCAUGUUCUCUAAGAACAUUGUUCCGGUCUCUCAGUAUCUGAAUAAAACAGUGCCACUCUUUGCAAGAAGAAAGCAGGAACGGUGUCAGGUAGAAAACACCAUUGCUGCAUGUGAAGGCCCAGGUAACUGUUGCCUGUCUGGCCAGCCACUUUGUGCUGUUACAAAUGUUAUAAAGAAAAUGUUUCAUGUGCUGUCAUAGG
rnacentral:lncRNA from 1 species